UACGUAGGGUGCAAGCGUUAAUCGGAAUUACUGGGCGUAAAGCGUGCGCAGGCGGUUAUAUAAGACAGUUGUGAAAUCCCCGGGCUCAACCUGGGAACUGCAUUUGUGACUGCAUCGCUGGAGUACGGCAGAGGGGGAUGGAAUUCCGCGUGUAGCAGUGAAAUGCGUAGAUAUGCGGAGGAACACCGAUGGCGAAGGCAAUCCCCUGGGCCUGUACUGACGCUCAUGCACGAAAGCGUGGGGAGCAAACAGG
rnacentral:rRNA from 1 species